ACUCCUACGGGAGGCAGCAGUGGGGAAUCUUGGACAAUGGGGGCGAACCCUGAUCCAGCCAUGCCGCGUGAGUGAUGAAGGCCUUAGGGUCGUAAAGCUCUUUCGCCUGUGAAGAUAAUGACGGUAGCAGGUAAAGAAACCCCGGCUAACUCCGUGCCAGCAGCCGCGGUAAUACGGAGGGGGUUAGCGUUGUUCGGAAUUACUGGGGCGUAAAGCGCACGUAGGCGGAUCGGAAAGUUGGGGGUGAAAUCCCGGGGCUCAACCCCGGAACGGCCUCCAAAACUAUCGGUCUAGAGUUCGAGAGAGGUGAGUGGAAUUCCGAGUGUAGAGGUGAAAUUCGUAGAUAUUCGGAGGAACACCAGUGGCGAAGGCGGCUCACUGGCUCGAUACUGACGCUGAGGUGCGAAAGUGUGGGGAGCAAACAGGAUUAGAUACCCUGGUAGGACAGUG
rnacentral:rRNA from 1 species